rnacentral:rRNA from 1 species
UACGAAGGGUGCAACCGUUGCUCGGAAUUAUUGGGCGUAAAGCGCACGUAGGCGGCUUGGCAAGUCGGAUGUGAAAGCCCUCGGCUCAACCAAGGAAGUGCAUCCGAAACUGCUGAGCUUGAGUACUUAAGAGGAUCGCGGAAUUCCCGGUGUAGAGGUGAAAUUCGUAGAUAUCAGGAGGAACACCGGUGGCGAAGGCGGGUCUCUGGGCAGUAACUGACGCUGAGGAGCGAAAGCGUGGGGAGCGAACAGG